AACGCGAAGAACCUUACCUGGGCUCGAACGGCCGGUUAACGGUAGUGGAAACACUUCUACUCCGCAAGGAGGUCCGGUCGAGGUGCUGCAUGGCUGUCGUCAGCUCGUGUCGUGAGAUGUUGGGUUAAGUCCCGCAACGAGCGCAACCCUUGUCCUGUGUUGCCAUUCCGCAAGGAGGAACUCGCAGGAGACCGCCAGCGAUAAGCUGGAGGAAGGUGGGGAUGACGUCAAGUCCUCAUGGCCUUUAUGUCCAGGGCUACACACGUGCUACAAUGGCCGGUACAAAGCGUCGCUAAGUCGCGAGACGGAGCCAAUCGCAAAAAACCGGUCUCAGUUCGGAUUGCAGGCUGCAACUCGCCUGCAUGAAGCUGGAAUCGCUAGUAAUGGCGUAUCAGAACGAUGCCGUGAAUACGUUCCCGGGCCUUGUACACACCGAUAGC
rnacentral:rRNA from 1 species